CCACUCCCAACCGUUUCUUAUGCCUGCCUGGUAACAAGGUUCCACGCGCCCUACAAUUCUAAUGUUUGUGUCCAGUUCUGAACUUAUAUGUUGAAACCCAGUGACGGAUGUGGUCUGCCCUCAGUGUUCUACCUGGCUGAGAUGCUCCAAUGACGCCCGAGAUGAGAGCAGCCUGGCGUAGCUGCUACAACUGGGGGAUUCUCGGUUCUUUCUGGACACCGGUGUCUCAAGUUCCAAGGCCAGCUCUUCUGAGGCGAAGGUGGACCCCUCUCUGAGUCCCACACUGAAGUAGGCUUUUGUAGCCUGGAAACAUCCAAAGCAACAGAAGAACAUUCUACCCAGGGAAUAGUUGCAAUGGCUUGAGAAGACUACUUCCAAGUUCUCACAGCCUUGACCCCACCUGUGGUCAAGCCGUAUACAAUAAACGACAGAACAGUUGGACAAUCUGCAACUCGCUGAUUACAAAAGAAAAAAAAGAAAAGGAAAAUGUACCGUGAAGUUUGGAAUGCUGCAGUGGUAGCCAGAGGAUCUCUAGUAGAGCCGUUUCCUUAGGGUAGAGCUAUAGGGUAGAGCAAGAGUCCGACUCCUGAUUCUCUGGGCAUGGAUACCAAAUGUCCUCCCCUGCCAAAUAGGUAGCUCAGCUAAAAAUUCCAGAAAACUGGUCCUUCUAUAGCUUGUCUCCUUACACUGCGGAUUCCAGCGCUUCAAAGCUUCCAGCCUAAUCCUGCUUCUUGGAUUAAGUGUUAGCUGCAGGCUCCUCUCUGGGUGGCCUGCCUCAGCCAGACAACUACUUUUAGGAUCAAAAUGAUAAUAUUUUGGUUUUGGUUAGUCCAUCUCAACCUCCCAAAGCAAGCCAAGGAGUGAACGAAGAGAGAACAAUCAACAGUUUGGUCCAAAGCCUGAUGUCGAGUAGUACAGACCCU
rnacentral:lncRNA from 1 species